UUUUAUUAUUUAACUGGUUUAAGCAUUACACCCUGCCUCUGCAUAAAUAAGGUGCACAUAGCCAAACAAAUUCCUCUUACAAAGAACAAACAUAAUAAAAAAGGCGAAAUACAAACACAUAGAAUCCGUAUAAUGCCUAAACCUAGGGGGGGCAAUCCUAAGAUCAUGUUGUCACCCAUGUCGGAUAAAAGUAUCCCUCGCCGUAUCCUCCAAUCGUGUACACACCUCCGUAAACAGGUCUCGAUUCUACAUGUGUUGUAGAGAGGACCAUAAACAAAGAAUCCCGGUACAUCUGUAGAUAACCUGCAUAAGAGAAGUAUUUUUAUCAUUAAAAACCUUAUCAUUUCUACAUAGCUAAAGCGACCAAAUAACGGCAAUCACUUCCACCUUGACAAGAGUUCUAAACCUGUGAUCAAUCUCAUGUAACCAGUUGCCAAAUAUAUUAGCAAUAGUACAAGGAGGAUACAAGCCAGAAGUUAUUUGGAUGAUUGAUAUAGAACGAGCCGAUUUGCAUUGGAAGAACAAAUGUUUUAUUGUCUCAUCAUGCUGACAAAAGACACAUUGCGUACUUCCAUGUCAAUUCCUCUUAAUAAGGUUAUCUUUAGUAAGAAUGACUCCGCGACGAAGAUAUCAUGCAAAGAUUUUAUUCUUAAGUGGUAUUUUCAUCUUCCAGAUCUUCUUGUUAUUAUCAACUGGCACAUCAAACUGGAGUAAGGCUAUGGUAUACGGCGGGUAUUACGUGAAUUCGUUGGUGGUUGAGCUAGGCAUACGACGGGUAUCCUCAAAAAGGAGAACCUUCGUCUUUCAUCUAUCAUUGAUGAAUUAGAAGCUUUGGCAGAGGUUAGACCCUUACCUGAGCAUGAAAUCGAGAUCAAGAGUCAAUCGAAAUCACAGAUAGCUAGCAUGAUGCGUGAAGAGGAACUCAAAUGGUACCAACAUUCUAACUCUCAAUUUAUCCUGAAAGGUGAUUCGAAUACUAGAUAUUUCCAUGGUGUCACCAAUGGUAGACACCGGAAAAAACGGAUUCACUCCCUACUACAGGAGGAGGACAUGAUUGAGGGGCAUGCACAACUUAAAUCUUAUAUCACUAAUUAUUAUAAAAAAUUGUUUGGAGCUCCAGAAGAAGGCGAUGUAUGAGUCCUGAACAUAUGACAUCCCCCAGAUCUCUGAUAAGGAAAAUAGCCUUCUAACAGCCCCAUAUUCUGAGGACGAAGUUAGAAAGGCAGUUUUUCUAAUGGAGCACAACAAAGCCCCGGGUCCAGAUGGUUUUCGAGCUGAGUUUUAUCAGAACUUCUGGGAAGUCAUCAAACCGGAUCUCCUACUACUGUUUGGCCACCUACAUGUUGGGCAACUACAAUUGUUUCGCUUAAAGUUUGUUGAGAUUAUUUUAUUACCUAAGGUUAAUGAGGCUGAAAGGAUACAACAAUGUAGACCUAUAUGCCUCCUUAAUGUUAGUUUUAAAAUCUUCACGAAAGUUGUGACGAUUAGGCUAAAUUCGGUUGCUGAACAUGUGAUGUGUCCUUCACAGACUGUUUUCAUGCAAAGCAGACACAUCCUAGAUGGAGUAGUUAUCUUCCAUGAAACAGUCCAAGAAUUACAUCAGAAAAAGUUGAAUGGGGCAGUACUCAAAAUCGACUUUGAAAAAGCUUAUGACAAAGUCAAGUGGCCUUUUCUUCAACACACUCUCAGAAUUAAAGGAUUUUCUGCAUAGUGGCAUGCUAUGAUCCAUAUUUUCGUUGCUGGCGGUAGUGUGGUCAUUAAAGUCAAUGAUGUUGUUGGCCACUAUUUCCAAACGAAGAAGGGAUUACGACAAGGUGACUCAAUAUCACCCAUGCUAUUUAAUAUAGUGGCGGAUAUGUUAGCAGUCAUGAUUGAGCGUGCCAAGGUUGAUGGCAAAAUUGAUGGGGUAGUGGGUCAUCUAGUUGAUGGUGGUCUCUCUAUCAUUCAAUAUGCUGACUGUUGGGGAACAUUGCAUGGGAAACAAAAAAAUCCUACGCACACGAAGACCUAUCAUGAUGAUGAUCAUCUACGAUAGGGAGAUCAGAUCUACAUACCCUUGUAGAUCGCUAAGCGGGAAGCGUUAAGAAACGCGGUUGAUGUAGUGGAACGUCUUCGCGAUCCAAAUCGCCGCCGUCCCAGAUCCGUCCCGAUCUAGCACCAAACGGACGGCACCUCCAUGUUCAGCACACGUACAGCUCGAUGACGAUCUCCGCCUUCUUGAUCCAGCAAGAGAGAUGAAGAGGUAGCUGAAUUCUCCGGCAGCACGACGGCGUGGCGAUAAUGAUGGUGGAGCUACUCCGGCAGGGCUUCGUCAUGCCGUACCGAUCUAGCUACGAUGUGUCACGAAGUAGUGGAGGGAGAGAGGUUUGCA
rnacentral:lncRNA from 1 species